rnacentral:tmRNA from 1 species
GGGGAUGAAAGGAUUUCGACAGGGUUGUUGAGCCUUGGUCAGCGGGUAGCGGAGUUGCACCGCUUAAAAAGUAACACCUUAAAAUUAACUGACAACAAUAGAUCAGUAGCUCUUGCUGCUUAAUUAGUAGCUUGCGUUCUCCUGCCGAGUGCCGCGGCGGCAGGCAGAGCGUCGACUUAGCGGCGAACAUGAACGGAAGAGCGUCUUGGCUUCCGUCACGAAUUAAAGACUACCGUAUCUCAAAGGCCGUUUACCGCCGUUGAGAGAGGGGAAUCCCAAACGGUAAACUACAUCCGUAGAGCCCUUGGUAAGAUAAUUUUGGACGCGGCUUCGAUUGCCGCCAUCUCCACCA